AGAGCAUCCAUGAUGUUACAUCCAAGUUUACUCAUCCUUGCACUUUGAGUUUUGACUUUUGACAGUGAAGAAAAACAUUGGGGACUAUGUAGUCUGAGAUGCUC
rnacentral:snoRNA from 1 species